GUUAGGAAUAUUCGUCAAUGGGGGAAACCCUGAACGAGCAAUGCCGCGUGAAGGAUGACGGUCCUUUGGAUUGUAAACUUCUGUUGUUAGGGAAGAACAAACUGUAUAGGAAAUGAUACAGUUCUGACGGUCCCUUUCAAGAAAGCUCCGGCUAACUACGUGCCAGCAGCCGCGGUAAUACGUAGGGAGCAAGCGUUAUCCGGAUGUAUUGGGUGUAAAGGGUGCGUAGGCGGUUUAUUAGGUCUAUGGUUUAAUUCCGAAGCUUAACUUCGGUUCGCCAUAGAAACCGAUUUACUUGAGUAUGGUAGAGGCAAGUGGAAGUUCUAGUGUAGCGGUAAAAUGCGUAGAUAUUAGAAGGAACACCAGUGGCGAAGGCGACUUGCUGGGCCAUCACUGACGCUGAGGCACGAAAGCGUGGGGAGCAAAUAGGAUUAGAAACCCCGGUAGUCC
rnacentral:rRNA from 1 species